UACAGAGGUCCCAAGCGUUGUUCGGAUUCACUGGGCGUAAAGGGUGCGUAGGCGGUCGGGUAAGUCUGACGUGAAAUCCCGCAGCUCAACUCCGGACCUGCAUCCGAUACUGCCCGACUAGAGGUAGGUAGGGGAGAUCGGAAUUCCUGGUGUAGCGGUGAAAUGCGCAGAUAUCAGGAGGAACACCGGUGGCGAAGGCGGAUCCCUGGGCCUUACCUGACGCUCAGGCGCGAAAGCUAGGGGAGCGAACAGG
rnacentral:rRNA from 1 species